rnacentral:rRNA from 1 species
GACGAACGCUGGCGGCGUGCUUAACACAUGCAAGUCGAGCGGUAAGGCCCUUCGGGGUACACGAGCGGCGAACGGGUGAGUAACACGUGGGUGAUCUGCCUUGCACUCUGGGAUAAGCCUGGGAAACUGGGUCUAAUACCGGAUAUGACCUUCGACUGCAUGGUCGAGGGUGGAAAGAUUUAUCGGUGCAAGAUGAGCCCGCGGCCUAUCAGCUUGUUGGUGGGGUAAUGGCCUACCAAGGCGACGACGGGUAGCCGGCCUGAGAGGGCGACCGGCCACACUGGGACUGAGACACGGCCCAGACUCCUACGGGAGGCAGCAGUGGGGAAUAUUGCACAAUGGGCGGAAGCCUGAUGCAGCGACGCCGCGUGAGGGAUGACGGCCUUCGGGUUGUAAACCUCUUUCGACUCCGACGAAGCGAAAGUGACGGUAGGAGUAUAAGAAGCACCGGCCAACUACGUGCCAGCCGCCGCCGUAAGAC